UACGAAGGGGGCUAGCGUUGUUCGGAUUUACUGGGCGUAAAGCGUGCGCAGGCGGUUAUGUAAGACAGUUGUGAAAUCCCCGGGCUCAACCUGGGAACUGCAUCUGUGACUGCAUAGCUAGAGUACGGUAGAGGGGGAUGGAAUUCCGCGUGUAGCAGUGAAAUGCGUAGAUAUGCGGAGGAACACCGAUGGCGAAGGCAAUCCCCUGGACCUGUACUGACGCUCAUGCACGAAAGCGUGGGGAGCAAACAGG
rnacentral:rRNA from 1 species